rnacentral:rRNA from 1 species
UACGGAGGGUGCGAGCGUUGUCCGGAAUCAUUGGGCGUAAAGAGCGUGUAGGCGGCUUGGCAAGUCUGGUGUGAAAUCUUGCGGCUCAACCGCAAGCGGUCACUGGAAACUGCCUCGCUAGAGUCCGGAAGAGGAGAGCGGAAUUCCUGGUGUAGCGGUGGAAUGCGCAGAUAUCAGGAAGAACACCCGUGGCGAAGGCAGGUCUCUGGGCCAUUACUGACGCUGAGAAGCGAAAGCAUGGGGAGCGAACAGG